GAUGAACGCUGGCGGCGUGCCUAAUACAUGCAAGUCGAGCGAAUGGAUUAAGAGCUUGCUCUUAUGAAGUUAGCGGCGGACGGGUGAGUAACACGUGGGUAACCUGCCCAUAAGACUGGGAUAACUCCGGGAAUCCGGGGCUAAUACCGGAUAACAUUUUGAACCGCAUGGUUCGAAAUUGAAAGGCGGCUUCGGCUGUCACUUAUGGAUGGACCCGCGUCGCAUUAGCUAGUUGGUGAGGUAACGGCUCACCAAGGCAACGAUGCGUAGCCGACCUGAGAGGGUGAUCGGACACACUGGGACUGAGACACGGCCCAGACUCCUACGGGAGGCAGCAGUAGGGAAUCUUCCGCAAUGGACGAAAGUCUGACGGAGCAACGCCGCGUGAGUGAUGAAGGCUUUCGGGUCGUAAAACUCUGUUGUUAGGGAAGAACAAGUGCUAGUUGAAUAAGCUGGCACCUUGACGGUACCUAACCAGAAAGCCACGGCUAACUACGUGCCAGCCGCCGCGGUAA
rnacentral:rRNA from 1 species